rnacentral:tRNA from 1 species
GCCCGGGUGGUGAAACUGGUAGACACAAGGGACUUAAAAUCCCUCGGCUUCACGGCCAUGCCGGUUCGAUUCCGGCCCCGGGCACCA